rnacentral:rRNA from 1 species
UACGUAGGGGGCAAGCGUUGUCCGGAUUUAUUGGGCGUAAAGAGCGUGUAGGCGGCCAUACAGGUCAGCUGUGAAAAACUCGAGGCUCAACCUCGAGACGUCGGUUGAAAACCGUAUGGCUAGAGUCCGGAAGAGGAGAGUGGAAUUCCCGGUGUAGCGGUGAAAUGACGCAGAUAUCAGGAGGGAACACCGGUGGCGAAGGCGGGUCUCUGG